CUAAGUACAUAAGGUUGACUAAUUAAGAAUUUCCUGUUUCUUAUAAAAUUUUAAUAUAACUAAUUGUUGAUUUUUUUUUCCAGUAACUCUGGGUGGAUUUUAACUACAACUCUUGUCCUCUCGGUGAUGGUAUUGCUUUGGAUUUGUUGUGCAACUGUUGCUACAGCUGUGGAGCAGUAUGUUCCCUCUGAGAAGCUGAGUAUCUAUGGUGACUUGGAGUUUAUGAAUGAACAAAAGCUAAACAGAUAUCCAGCUUCUUCUCUUGUGGUUGUUAGAUCUAAAACUGAAGAUCAUGAAGAAGCAGGGCCUCUACCUACAAAAGUGAAUCUUGCUCAUUCUGAAAUUUAAGCAUUUUUCUUUUAAAAGACAAGUGUAAUAGACAUCUAAAAUUCCACUCCUCAUAGAGCUUUUAAAAUGGUUUCAUUGGAUAUAGGCCUUAAGAAAUCACUAUAAAAUGCAAAUAAAGUUACUCAAAUCUG
rnacentral:sRNA from 1 species